CAGACAACGACCACGAGGCAAGGACGCAGUGAAACUGUUCGUGGAACUAUGGACCGGACCAGCUCUUCAGGAUGCCUUAAAGUGUUCAUGGAUCUGUUUAUGUAUACCGUGGAAAUCACGGGAACACCGGGGAACUACAAGUUCACCGGUCCUAUGGUGAAAAUUCUGCACAUCUUCGAGAAGCAUCUUGGUCUGUGUUUCCAGUUCAUGAGAUCGAAAUAUCGAGUGGUCGGCCAUCUGCUGCCAAACGGUUCCUGGACGGGCAUAAUGGGGCUGCUGCAGCGGG